rnacentral:lncRNA from 1 species
AAUUAAUACAUCUCAAACUAGGGUUGUCCAAACUACCCUUUGUCAACCAUUUUGAGAAACCCACUAGUUAUAGUAUUUCAAUUGUACUAAUGAAAUCUCUUUACAACUUUACUUCAAACCCCAAUCUUCAUACUUUUCAACCAACUCUUACUCUAUUCUUAUCAAACCAAGAUCUUGAAUCUCUUAUUUGUUCAAACCAUUUGUUAACACUUUGUUACUUCAAGACUGACAUUACCACUUGAAACCAUAGCCCAGUUCACUCUUUCAUCCACUGACCCACUUCUCAUGCUCAACAUCCAUUUAUACUCUCUCACUUCAAGGUUGACACUACAGCUAGAAACUGUAGGCUCACGUGUCUUCUUUGCCUCAUACUUAUUUCUUUCAUACCUAAACUCACUUUUGACUCUUGAAGGUCACCAAAUACUCCCAACUCAUUCUCAUAUAACAACAUCAAUAUUGUUUUAAAGAAACUCAUCCCUCACAAACCACCAACCCAUAAUUGAGAAAAUUCUUCAUACAUACCACUUUCUGUUAAGAACAUGCCCACCAUCAUCCGCUGCGCUACUUUAAUUCCAUACGUCCUUGCCCAUAUGUUUAUUGAAAAUGAUACUCUCUCCAAAAUCU